rnacentral:rRNA from 1 species
CACACGACUCUCGGCAACGGAUAUCUCGGCUCUCGCAUCGAUGAAGAACGUAGCAAAAUGCGAUACCUGGUGUGAAUUGCAGAAUCCCGCGAACCAUCGAGUUUUUGAACGCAAGUUGCGCCCGAGGCCUUUUGGUUGAGGGCACGUCUGCCUGGGCGUCACGU